UGGUGGAGUGAUUUGUCUGGUUAAUUCCGAUAACGAACGAGACCUUAACCUGCUAAAUAGUUCUGCGAACCUGCGUUCGUAGCCAACUUCUUAGAGGGACUGACUACGUUUAGUGGUCGGAAGUUUGAGGCAAUAACA
rnacentral:rRNA from 1 species